rnacentral:tRNA from 2 species
GGAGAGGUGCCGGAGUGGCUGAACGGGACGGUCUCGAAAACCGUUGAGCUCGCAAGAGUUCCGAGGGUUCGAAUCCCUCUCUCUCCGCCA